GGAUUUGAGGGUGAUCUGGCUGUGACAUCUGUCACCCCAUUGAUCGCCAGGGUUGAUUCGGCUGAUCUGGCUGGCUAGGCGGGUGUCCCCUUCCUCCCUCACUGCUCCAUGUGCGUCCCUCCCGAAGCCACGUGCUUGGUCAAAGAGGACAACCAUCCCCGCUAGAGGAGGACCGGUCCUCGGUCAAGGGUAUACGAGUAGCUGCACUCCCAUGCUAGAACCUCCAAACAAGCUCUCAAGGCCCAUUAAAUAUUUUUUAAAAGAAGAAGUCUUGUAAGCUGGGUCUAAAUCAGAACUCUGGUAAGGGAUGCAGGCAUUC
rnacentral:snRNA from 1 species